CCUACGGGUGGCAGCAGUGGGGAAUAUUGCACAAUGGGGGAAACCCUGAUGCAGCGACGCCGCGUGAGCGAUGAAGUAUUUCGGUAUGUAAAGCUCUAUCAGCAGGGAAGAAGAUGACGGUACCUGACUAAGAAGCCCCGGCUAACUACGUGCCAGCAGCCGCGGUAAUACGUAGGGGGCAAGCGUUAUCCGGAUUUACUGGGUGUAAAGGGAGUGUAGACGGCGAUGCAAGCCAGAUGUGAAAGCCCGGGGCUCAACCCCGGGACUGCAUUUGGAACUGCGUGGCUGGAGUGCAGGAGGGGCAGGCGGAAUUCCUGGUGUAGCGGUGAAAUGCGUAGAUAUCAGGAGGAACACCGGUGGCGAAGGCGGCCUGCUGGACUGCAACUGACGUUGAGGCCCGAAAGCGUGGGGAGCAAACAGGAUUAGAUACCCGAGUAGUC
rnacentral:rRNA from 1 species